rnacentral:lncRNA from 1 species
AUCAUCUGCCCUGUGCUGAUUCUUGGGAUUUUUGAGCUUGUUAUUGUUGUGAUUUUACUUUAUAGUGUUAUGAUGCUAUUAUGGUUUUUGGGACUUGAUAUUGUUGAGAUAUAACUCUGAACUUUGGAGUGAUUUAGCUAUGAUUUUUGCUCUGAUUUUGGGGAUUAAUUCUGUCAUUUUGUUGGACUAACUUAGCCCUGAUUUCGCAUUGUGAGUUCAGGACCACCAAGACGGGUAUUUCAACAUUUGCUCGCUGUUGAGAACACUAUGAUUGCCUAGCUGAACCAAAUAUGGUUUAUUCAUGGGAGCUCUUGACAAAAGGGGACAAAUGACAGCUCCGCUAGUUACUUGCUCGGGUCAUAAGCUCAACUUUUGGGGAAUGUUAUAGCGUUAAAAGAGGGUUGCUGAACACACUCACAAAAAAGACUAACCAUGACAUGGGUUUUUGGGUUAAAGACAUUAUUGAAUUCGUGGUUUCAUAUCAUAUGCACUGACAAAUAAUUAUUGUUUGUCCAUUAUACUUUCUCUUUGAGAAUCGUGAUUUCAGGAUUGUGAAUUCCCACCAUUGGGACACAAAUAUUCUAACUUAUGUGUCAUUUUUGGGGAUUCUCACAACUUUUAUUCGGUGGAACAAAUGUUUAGGGCGGCACUGUUGCUUGGGAAAAGCAAAGCGUACACUUUUUUACUUGUUAAUUGAUUUACAUCCCUAUCUCUAAG